AACGCUAGCUACAGGCUUAACACAUGCAAGUCGCGGGGCAGCAUUUUCCUAGCUUGCUUUGAUAGAUGGCGACCGGCGCACGGGUGAGUAACGCGUAUCCAACCUUCCCCAUAGUCAGGAAUAGCCCGGCGAAAGUCGAAUUAAUGCCUGAUGUUUUCCACGGACGGCAUCCGAUGUGGAACAAAGAUUCAUCGCUAUGGGAUGGGGAUGCGUCUGAUUAGCUUGUUGGCGGGGUAACGGCCCACCAAGGCGACGAUCAGUAGGGGUUCUGAGAGGAAGGUCCCCCACAUUGGAACUGAGACACGGUCCAAACUCCUACGGGAGGCAGCAGUGAGGAAUAUUGGUCAAUGGGCGAGAGCCUGAACCAGCCAAGUAGCGUGCAGGAUGACGGCCCUAUGGGUUGUAAACUGCUUUUAUAAGGGAAUAAAGUGAGCCUCGUGAGGCUUUUUGCAUGUACCUUAUGAAUAAGGACCGGCUAAUUCCGUGCCAGCAGCCGCGGUAAUACGGAAGGUCCGGGCGUUAUCCGGAUUUAUUGGGUUUAAAGGGAGCGUAGGCCGGAGAUUAAGCGUGUUGUGAAAUGUAGAUGCUCAACAUCUGAACUGCAGCGCGAACUGGUUUCCUUGAGUACGCACAAAGUGGGCGGAAUUCGUGGUGUAGCGGUGAAAUGCUUAGAUAUCACGAAGAACUCCGAUUG
rnacentral:rRNA from 1 species